rnacentral:rRNA from 1 species
CAGCAGCCGCGGUAAUACGAAGGGGGCUAGCGUUGUUCGGAAUUACUGGGCGUAAAGCGCACGUGGGCGGAUAUUUAAGUCAGGGGUGAAAUCCCAGAGCUCAACUCUGGAACUGCCUUUGAUACUGGGUAUCUUGAGUAUGGAAGAGGUGAGUGGAAUUCCGAGCGUAGAGGUGAAAUUCGUAGAUAUUCGGAGGAACACCAGUGGCGAAGGCGGCUCACUGGUCCAUUACUGACGCUGAGGUGCGAAAGCGUGGGGAGCAAACAGGAUUAGAUACCCGGGUAGUCCCUGUCUCUUAUAC